rnacentral:siRNA from 1 species
CUAUACUUAUCCAUCGGUUAAUU